rnacentral:miRNA from 1 species
AAAGAGAGUCUGAGAGAGAGAGAGAGAGAGAGAGAGAGAGAGACGUGGACAAAUGAGGAUUGCAGAAAAUUCAAUCGAACGUUGCUGCUAUACAAUGGUGUGGUGUUUGGGACCCUCCACCACUUGUACUGCACAUGACCCAUUCCUAGCCUACCACUCAGUUUGAACCCUCUCUCUCUCUCUCUCUCUCUCUCUCUCUCUCAUCUUUUGUCC